rnacentral:rRNA from 1 species
UACGUAGGGGGCUAGCGUUGUCCGGAAUCAUUGGGCGUAAAGAGCGCGUAGGCGGCUCGGUAAGUCCGCUGUGAAAGCCCAGGGCUCAACCCUGGAAUGCCAGUGGAAACUGUCGAGCUAGAGUCCGGAAGAGGCGAGUGGAAUUCCUGGUGUAGCGGUGAAAUGCGCAGAUAUCAGGAGGAACACCAAUGGCGAAGGCAGCUCGCUGGAGCGUUACUGACGCUGAGGCGCGAAAGCGUGGGGAGCGAACAGG